GGAGGAGGGCGAAUGUGGUCCCUAUCUUCAAGAAGGGAAAAAAGAACGACCCAAACAAUUACCGUCCGGUCAGCCUCACAUCAAUACCAGGCAAAAUUCUGGAAAAGAUCAUUAAGGAAGUGGUCUGCGAACACUUAGAAACAAAUGCGGUCAUUGCUAAUAGUCAACACGGAUUUACCAAAAACAAGUCAUGCCAGACUAAUCUGAUCUCUUUUUUCGAUAGAGUUACGAGUUGGGUCGAUACAGGGAAUGCUGUGGAUGUAGCGUACCUGGAUUUCAGUAAGGCCUUCGACAAAGUCCCCCACGACCUUCUGGCAAACAAACUAGUAAAAUGUGGGCUAGACAAAACGACGGUUAGGUGGAUCUGUAAUUGGCUAAGCGAACGAACCCAAAGGGUGCUCACCAAUGCGUCGUCUUCAUCAUGGAAAGAAGUGUCAAGUGGAGUGCCGCAGGGCUCCGUCCUGGGCCCGGUUCUGUUCAACAUCUUUAUUAACGACUUAGACGAAGGGUUAGAAGGCACGAUCAUCAAGUUUGCAGACGACACAAAACUGGGAGGGAUAGCUAACACUCCAGAAGACAGGAGCAGAAUUCAAAACGAUCUUGACAGACUAGAGAGAUGGGCCGAAACUAACAAAAUGAAGUUCAACAGGGACAAAUGCAAGAUACUUCACUUCGGCAGAAAAAAUGGAAAUCAAAGAUACAGAAUGGGGGACGCCUGGCUUGACAGCAGUGUGUGCGAAAAAGACCUUGGAGUCCUCGUGGACAACAAGUUAAACAUGAGCCAACAAUGUGAUGCGGCUGCUAAAAAAGCCAAUGGGAUUCUGGCCUGCAUCAAUAGGGGAAUAGCGUCUAGAUCCAGGGAAGUCAUGCUCCCCCUCUAUUCUGCCUUGGUCAGACCACACCUGGAAUACUGUGUCCAGUUUUGGGCACCACAGUUGAAGGGAGAUGUUGACAAGCUGGAAAGCGUCCAGAGGAGGGCGACUAAAAUGAUUAAGGGUCUGGAGAACAAGCCCUAUGAGGAGCAGCUUAAAGAGCUGGGCAUGUUUAGCCUGCAGAAGAGAAGGCUGAGAGGAGACAUGAUAGCCAUGUACAAAUACGUGAAGGGAAGUCAUAGGGAGGAGGGAGCAAGCUUGUUUUCUGCUGCCCUGCAGACUAGGACACGGAACAAUGGCUUCAAACUACAGGAAAGGAGAUUCCACCUGAACAUCAGGAAGAACUUCCUCACUGUGAGAGCUGUUCGACAGUGGAACUCUCUCCCCGGGGCCGUGGUGGAGGCUCCUUCCUUGGAGGCUUUUAAGCAGAGGCUGGAUGGCCAUCUGUCGGGGGUGCUUUGAAUGCGAUUUCCUGCUUCUUAGCAGGGGGUUGGACUAGAUGGCCCAUGUGGUCUCUUCCAACUCUACUAUUCUAUGAUUCUAUGAUUCUAGGAGUUCAGCUCCGUAGGAGUGAGAGGGUGGCGGGAAAGGAAGAGGCCUCUUCAGGGAAGAGAAAUGCUUUUCUGGGGUGCUUUUAAAAGUGUGUGUUUGCAGAUACAUCUUCGUCAAAGCAAAUUCUUGCUUCCCCUGUGUGGAUGUUCAUGCUUCAUGCCUAAGAAAAGUUUUCUGGAUCUUUGUAACCUUUGGGCCUUUUGUUCUUUGGGAUCUAUUGUCUACUGUUUUGACCUAUGGAUUAUUGCUAUGGCUUAUGGACUUAUGGAUUUUUAUGGCUUAUGAACUAAUUGGAUUCCUAUUGACUCUUUUAUUGCAACUUUGAAAAACCUUUCAACUGCCUGCUUUGAUAUAUAUUUGCUUUUGCUCAAUAAAACUUCAAAAGACUUUCUUCUGUGUCUGACCGAGUGUCUAUAGCAAGGUGAACUAUUCUGAGGUGUGACACUUCUCAUGAUGUGGCCAAAAUACUUCAACUUUACCUCUAAUAUCCUUCUCUCUAGUGACCAGCUGGGCAUUAUUUCCUGGAGGAUGGACUAUUUGGAUUUUCUUGUGGAUCAAGGCACUCUCAGAAUUUUCCUUCAACACCACAGUUCAAAAGUGUCUCUCUUCCUUCGCUCAGCCUUCCUUAUGGUCCAUCUCUCGCAUCCAUAGGUUACUAUGGGGAAUACCAUUGCUUUAACUAUACGGACCUUCGUUGCCAGAGUGAUGUCUCUACUCUUCACUGACUUAUGGAGAUCCUAAGGCAAAUCAGUCAUGGGAUUUCUUGGACAGGUUGAUUAAGGAGAUUUGGCAUUAACCAUUUUCUGAACAUGUUUCAGCAUGGGCCACUUAGGUUUUGGCUGUCAUCCAGGUAGUAGAACAUCAUACUCUUGGACCCUUUCCAUCAUGUGUUUUGGGAGUGGUCCAGUUGAUGCCAACCUCUUGACAUGGUGAUAUGAAGAUUCUGCCCAUAAACCUGGGGUUGAUUCAUUGAAGAUUUACCAGACAGAAUGACAAGGUUAUAAAUACUUCUUGCUGCCCAUCAUCCAACAGUCCAUUAAGACUCCAAUUAAGUUGAACACGUCAUGCUGGAAAAGGGUGGGUUCCUUGCUUCUCUCUCUUUUCAGUUAAAAAAGAGACUUUGGGUUCAAAAGGUCCAACAGGGUGGACUCUCCAUAUGUCAAGUCUCGACUGACUCCAGACUCAACGUCAUCUUCAGUUCCGGAUGAUUUGGUGCUUUGAGGAUCUAUAAAAGGCCUCUUUCCUAGCUCUCAGCAAGCUAUUCCUCUUUCCAUCUUCAUCCACCUGUGCCGUCAUAUUGUGUGGCUUGCCUCAACUCAGAGAGAAUGUCUCACCAACACCAGCAGCAAUGCGUUCAGCCUCCAUCCUUCCCGCCAGUCGCCUGUGUGCAGGAUCCCAAGUGCGUGGAGCCGUGCCCACCCCCAGCGUGCCAAGUGGUGACUGACUGUCAGUGGCCAGGGUCAACUGGAAAGCCCUGCCAAGGGUCAACUGGAAGCUCAGAGCAGUGCGUGUCGGGCAACCAUGAUGGAUCUGCAUCUUGUGUUCUCCAGCAAGAACCGAAGCAAUGCUGAGCUCUCCUUAGCUGGUGCCUGCCUUCAUCCAAAGAUGGAAGCUUAUAAAGAAUAUAUAAUGUGAAUAAAUAUUCCUCCAAAUCAA